UACGAAGGGGGCUAGCGUUGUUCGGAAUCACUGGGCGUAAAGCGCACGUAGGCGGAUCUUUAAGUCAGGGGUGAAAUCCCGAGGCUCAACCUCGGAACUGCCUUUGAUACUGGGGAUCUCGAGUCCGGGAGAGGUGAGUGGAACUGCGAGUGUAGAGGUGAAAUUCGUAGAUAUUCGCAAGAACACCAGUGGCGAAGGCGGCUCACUGGCCCGAUACUGACGCUGAGGCACGAAAGCGUGGGGAGCAACAGGAGUAGAACCUAAGUACCUCGAG
rnacentral:rRNA from 1 species